UCUACAACAACAACAACAACAACAACAACAACCGAUAAUGCACCUACAAUCAUGAGUUAUACACAGUGUUGCGUGUGUGUGGUCUCGGUUGCGCUCCGUACGGUAGCUAUGCGUUGUUGUUUUUGCAUGUUCGUGUUGUUGUUGUUGUACAAGGAAGUAGCUAAAUUGCAUCAUAAAUUUAAAGAAAACGUGUAGAAAAUACGCAGACACGACACGAAAGCAUUAUUAAAAGCGAAAAAUAUGAAAAGUGAUUAGCAAUGAAAAGUUGGAAAAUUGUGUGGGAACAUUUUUCACUGAAAUAAUUACCAUUGAAGGGAUCAAAAAUUACCGACCGCAUGGAAAUGUGUGUAAUUAUUGUUAAUAAACUAAAUGAUAUGCAGAUAUUUUACACUGUGUGUAGAGAGAUCUGUAGAGAGAUAUGAAGCAGAUAUUUCAUAAACCAUCUGAGAAUUACAAAACUUAAUGAACGAAAUGACACCACCAGCGUCGGAAGCUAAGGUUUUGACUAAUUUCAGUUUCGCGAUGCUCUUAUGGACGACCCGUGGUUACGAUUCCAUCGGAUUAACAUUGAAAGACUGGAUUUUAGAAGCUGCUCCCUCAAGUCCGAAAUAUUCUCGAUCAUAUAGUAUUAAUCCUGCCUUCUGAUGGUCAUCACUUAAUUACUACUGGAUUAGAAUUAUUUUGAUGAAAGGAAAAAAUGUGCGUAAAGGCUUAGAAAGCAUAAAUUCCACACUUCUUUAAAGAGAAUAAAAAUUAGAACAGCGAUCUCGCAGCAUUCUUUGAAUGAAUUCAGUGCCACAACCCACACACUCCAACGCCGGCAAUGGAAAACUCAUGAAGAAGUGAACUUAACAUUCACUUUCACACUAGUUUCGGCUAUGUUAAUUCGCCUGAGUGUGCACUCUCCGCCGGCAGCAAGCAGACUGCAGGAUAUCUGUCUGUAUAACGAUGUCGGGUGGUGAGUGGGUGCGACUAAAGUGAUAGAAGUAACGGCUAUGCGCCAUAAAAAGCGAAGUGGCCGUAAAAAAUGUGCACACGAAAUGCCAGCGGAAAAUGCCUGCGACCGCCGUUGCACACAAGAGCGCCUAAAUGAUACAAACGUUCGGAAAAAGUGAUCUCGGCAUAUAUGAAAACACAUAAAUUACUCAUAUUGAAACGCUGGCUGGCGGUGGUUAAUGUCUGGCUGCAGCAAAAUGCUUUGCAUAUUAAUGGGUCAGAAAGCAAACCUUUAUUACCACAAUUAAGAUGAUAUUAAAUAAACGCUUCAAACAAAACAACAACAACGUAAACAAGAGUUUUGCUUAAUUGCCAUGAAGACAUUGGUAAAGUGAGCGGCGAAUGAACCACAAACACUCGCCGGUGUACGCGAGCUUACUUGCUGGCUGGUAGUCGGGCAGUUAGCGGAUAUUUGAGCCAUUUAUUUGACGCUUAACUGGCUGCCGUUUGUUAAUGGCAAUGACUGGUAUGUGGUAGUUUGGAAGUCGUGAAAAUAUUUCGACAAACAAAAGCGUAGAAUAAUAUAUUAAUAGUUAGGCACAAAGACAUGAACAUACUUUAUGUAUUUUGUAGGAGAGAGAAAGAAGCCUGAAAGCGCACAGUCGACUGCGUUCUAAUUCCUAGAUUGUUUCACUAUUCAGUUUUGUCGAUAGGUGGCGCUGUCGUUGCGAAGAUGUAAAAACCGCGUUUACUAAGGAAUUCGGUCCAUAAUCUACAAAAUUUUACAAUGGGAUGGAAGCUUCAGUGACAGAUAUAACUUUUCCCGGGUAACAUAGCUUGAACCUCUAAUUCCAAGAACGAGCUCCAGCAUAAAAUCAUGAUCAAUUAAAAGUCAAAAUUUAUUUUAUACUGAAAUUCGAAGCACAACCAAUAUAACCUCAACUCGAUCGAUCCAUAUGAUUAUCAUAGACAAAUAGAAAUACCAAAACGCACCCUAAUUUUUACUCGAACAAGGACUGUCAACUCGACAGCAUGCAUCCUAAUUAGUUGGGGAACGGUUUCUACCCCUACAACAACAAUAAUUUCAAGUAAGCUUACGAAGAGCUCUACAUAGAACUUACGAGCCCCUCUAAUUCACUUCGAAAGAAUACCGUAAUGUACUUAACUCCGUUGGAUAUCAACAUGAUUUUAGUUAUUUAAACUUAUAAUCUAAACAAGGCUUCUAGGUUAUGUAGAAUUUACAUUAGCAUACCGCAUUCUGUGUGGGCGUUUAGUAUAACCCAUUUUUCCCCAAGACUUGCCUUGGGUAGGCAAUGUGAAAUUUAUUCGUUAAACAUUUUUGAAGACUUCAAAAUAAAAAGGUUAAAAAAAAAAAAUAAAAUAAAAAUCGAAUGCAACUGCAACUAGCAAGAAAUGCAAUUAAAUUCGCAGACAUUCGAAAUUGCACUCAUGAAAAUUUAGCGAUUGCCUUGUUUACUUUCAAUUCAAUGUUAAGUCAAACUUUAAUGUGCCAUUAAGCAGUUGCAUUAACUGCUCACCCGCAAGUAAGGUGAACCAUUUAUGUGCAUAAAUAUUGUCAGUUGAUAUGAUUUCGUGACGCUUUAAGUGCCAAAUUUAUGACUAUUUGAAAGAAUUUUAAUUAACGAGUUUUGGCAUGCACUUGCAGUUAUAGAUAUGUAUUUGAGAGUAUGAAUGCAAGGAAAAUGAGUAAAUAAAAAAUAUACGAUGAAAUAAAAUGUCAGGAAAAGUUAGUUUUACCUUUCGCUUUACUAUUACUGAAUUUCCAUCAUUUUCCAUUGAAUAAACAGUAAAAUUGUGUUUUCAUAACUUCCUCGGAACUGAUUUAGUUAAAAUUUACGGGAAUUCCGUACAAAGCUCCAAAAAUUAGUUUGUCAUAAAAUGGUGAUUUCGAUUUUCCCACGAGUGUUGGUUUUGAUGUGUGAUUUGAGUAUAAAAAAAAGGAAUCAAAACUGUGAGAGGAAAUUGUAUGCAGAAGAGUAAUAAGGAUGUCGAGAAAACCUUUUUUCAUCCUCUAUGGAUUAAAAAUAGUGAUGUCUCAAAGAUCUUGAGUCUGAGUCUGUCGUUUUUCCGAAACUCGGUUGAUGACUUAAGUUCUCUUCUAUAAAUCUGCAGAGCGCUUCCACUAGAUCUACGAAACAGCAUUCCCUUAUUUAUUUCUGACGAAUCACAAGACCUUGGAAUCCUUUAGUUAUAGACCUGGUUCCGACUAACCCCAAAAGUUCGUCGAAUGAACUUGAGAAAUGAGGAAUCGGUCGGUAUCUGUUCGACUGCGAGAUCAUUCUGGCCUAAUGUGGAUCACAGGAGAUCUACUGAGCUAUUUUCUCCUAGCAAACUUUCAGCUCCUCGAAUUGGUAGGAGUCCUUACGGGACAUUGGCCGAUGGAGCUACAUGCAAAUUGCAUGGAAGAAGGUAAAAUUGAGACAUCGAGACACUUCCGCCUUCCAUCUUGUACAGCUUUCGCUAGAAGCAUCUAGCAGGACGAACUUCAGAGAACCAGUUGAACUGUAUCGCAUAAAAAUUAGUUGCCUCAACAAAUUCAUAAAAGGCUCAUAGCGCUUUGUAGUCCUUGAGUGUUUUUGCUAUCCAUUUGGAAGAGCUUACGACAUCACAAAGGACUGGCGACUUUAGCUGUCCAAGUGGGAUCUCCUGUGGCACAGGAUACAGUCCUUCAAACUAACCUAAUUUCAAAAGUUGUCUUCUAAUAGCGGUCACUCCUUCUUUUGUUGGCUAGUAAAUUUUCUCAUAAAAUCCAAUUCGUAUAGAAAAUGAGCGACGCUGUUGAAAACAAAGCAAAAAGAAUUAGAUCAAGCAAGGUCUGCAGGUUAUUUAAGCCACUGCACCCGAUUUUUUGGGAAACUCAUACUCGAACACGGUAUAUUUAAGGAAUAUGACGUAAAUGCGAAAAUGUUUCUCUAUUCCUUUUUACUGGUGCCACUUUGAAGCAUCCCGAACUAUAUAUAAGGCCCUGGUACAUUACCCCAGCUUAACCUAACUUUUUGCCAUACCUAUUCUUAUCUUGUCAUAUAUAAAUAAAUACGGAUGGAGCUUCACUCUUUUUUUACUCACGACUGUACACAAAUUAAAAUUUUUAAAUUGAAUUCCUUUAUCAGCGCCACACACAGUUAUGGUUAUGUACGAAUAAUAAAAGAAAUCUUUAUUAUACUUUUUAUAUGCAAUUACAAUAAAACAUCUGGUCACUUAAAAGUUGAAUAAAGAUAAAUCGUCUGCAGUUAUCUAAACAAUAUGCAUGUUAUGGCAACGCCGACAAAUUUCAACAUAAAUCUUUCAAAUCGGCUUUAAGGCUAUGAAAAGCAUAAACGCAACUGGAAAGAAAAAAAAUCAUGAAAAUGGAAAUGGAAAAAUAUAAAAUAGUGAGUGAGAGCAUAAAUAAAAAAGAAAAACAAAAAACAGACGAGAUAAGCUUCCUUGCUGUCUACGAGUAUUUACUGUUAGCUGUGAAAGCACACACUCAGUUGUGAUUUUCAAUUGUGUAUGAUUUGUUAUAGCCAUAUUUAUGACAGUGUGUUCGAAUCAAUAUGUUUUGACGCUCCAAAAUGCCAGCAAUUAUCUUUAUGCAUAUUCACAGUGGGAAAUUUCGCAUAAAAAUAAUCGCAAACUUGAGAAAUUUGACGAAAUGAAAUGCAUUUGCAUAAGAAAUGUUGAUUGGAAAAUAUAAUUAAACUUUAGCGAGCCCCCAUAGUAGGCAUAAAAUUCAAAUUCAAAGGCACUUGUAAAUAAUAUAUGUAUAAGAAAAGCUUAAUGGCUGAAGGUAAAUUUAUGAUAAUGAAGAAAACACUGCAACGCCAAUAAAGGUAUUUUGGUGAGCAUGAUAAACAAUAUACUCGUAAUAAAUUAUAUGAUUUCCGCAGACCGCAGCGUCGUCGCCGUGGCGUAUGAGUGACAUUUAUUAUUCGACCCUCAAUUGACUUUGUCCAGCAAAGAGUGCCGCCGCCGCCAAAGAUGUUUAUGUAUUUAAUAUAAACUUAUUGCAUAUCGUAAUCAAAAACCUCGAAAUCGCUGAAAAAUCUUAAAAGAUGAUGAAAAAAGGUGAAGGAGGCUAUUUUUUUUCUUUUCUGAGAGUGUGAUAUAUAUGGUAUAUGUUUAAAAAUAUAUAAAAUUUAUUCAACCUUCUUCAUAACUAAAAAAAUACAGUUUAUACAUUCCAGAUCUCUGUCUUAUCGAUUUCAAACUUAAACUCCACAAUAUAUAACCUUAUUACCUGCUUUGACUCCCACAUGAUCCACCUACUAGUCCUAUGUGAUUCAAUUAUGUGAACACACAAGGUUAAUAUGAACUUCAAAAAAUCCUAAUAACUACCCCUUCGUGAAGAAAGUUAGUCUUGGAUGAUUUAUCAAGUGUUUCGAAAUUUUUGAAGUCUUUAAAUUAAUUUGUGUUACGGCAGAUUCUCAUCAGGUAGAGUCUUCUCCGUCUAUAUUACUCUUUUAUUUGCUUAGAAAAGCUUUCUAUAAAAGUUCUCAGAAGAACCCAAAA